AGCAGCCGCGGUAAUUCCAGCUCCAAUAGCGUAUAUUAAAGUUGUUGCAGUUAAAAAGCUCGUAGUUGGAUUUCGGGGUUAGUAGGUUGGUCAUGCCUCCGGUAUGUACUGAUCUCACUGAUUCCUCCUUCCUUAUGAACCGUAAUGCCAUUAAUUUGGUGUUGCGGGGAAUUUGGACUGUUACUUUGAAAAAAUUAGAGUGUUUAAAGCAGGCUAACGCUUGAAUACAUUAGCAUGGAAUAAUGAAAUAGGACGUUCGAUCUUAUUUUGUUGGUUUCUAGGAUUGACGUAAUGAUUAAUAGGGAUAGUUGGGGGCAUUAGUAUUCAAUUGUCAGAGGUGAAAUUCUUGGAUUUAUUGAAGACUAACUACUGCGAAAGCAUUUGCCAAGGAUGUUUUCAUUAAUCAAGAACGAAGUUAGGGGAUCGAAGACGGAUCAGAUACCGUCGUAGUCUUAACCAUAAACUAUAGCCGACUAGGGAUCGGGAUGAUGUUAAUUUUUUAAUG
rnacentral:rRNA from 1 species